UGCAGUCGAACGAUGAAGCCCUUCGGGGUGGAUUAGUGGCGAACGGGUGAGUAACACGUGGGCAAUCUGCCCUUCACUCUGGGACAAGCCCUGGAAACGGGGUCUAAUACCGGAUAACACCGGCUUCCGCAUGGAAGCUGGUUGAAAGCUCCGGCGGUGAAGGAUGAGCCCGCGGCCUAUCAGCUUGUUGGUGGGGUAAUGGCCUACCAAGGCGACGACGGGUAGCCGGCCUGAGAGGGCGACCGGCCACACUGGGACUGAGACACGGCCCAGACUCCUACGGGAGGCAGCAGUGGGGAAUAUUGCACAAUGGGCGAAAGCCUGAUGCAGCGACGCCGCGUGAGGGAUGACGGCCUUCGGGUUGUAAACCUCUUUCAGCAGGGAAGAAGCGAAAGUGACGGUACCUGCAGAAGAAGCGCCGGCUAACUACGUGCCAGCAGCCGCGGUAAUACGUAGGGCGCAAGCGUUGUCCGGAAUUAUUGGGCGUAAAGAGCUCGUAGGCGGCUUGUCACGUCGGGUGUGAAAGCCCGGGGCUUAACCCCGGGUCUGCAUCCGAUACGGGCAGGCUAGAGUGUGGUAGGGGAGAUCGGAAUUCCUGGUGUAGCGGUGAAAUGCGCAGAUAUCAGGAGGAACACCGGUGGCGAAGGCGGAUCUCUGGGCCAUUACUGACGCUGAGGAGCGAAAGCGUGGGGGAGCGAACAGGAUUAGAUACCCUGGUAGU
rnacentral:rRNA from 1 species